AUUGAACGCUGGCGGCAGGCCUAAUACAUGCAAGUCGAACGAGUGGCGGACGGGUGAGUAAUGUCUGGGAAACUGCCCGAUGGAGGGGGAUAACUACUGGAACCGGUAGCUACUACCGCUUACCAUCGGAUGUGCCCAGAUGGGAUUAGCUAGUAGGUGGGGUAACGGCUCACCUAGGCGACGCUCCCUAGCGGGUCUGAGAGGAUGACCAGCCACACUGGGACUGAGACACGGUCCAGACGCCUACGGGAGGCAGCAGGGGGGAAUAUUGGGCAAUGGUCGAAAGUCUGAUCCAGCCACGCCGCGUGUAGGAAGAAGGCCUUCGGGGUGUAAAGUACUUUUGGGGAGGAAGCGUUAUCCACACAGGAAGCAACGGCUAACUACGUGCCAGCAGCCGCGGUAAUUC
rnacentral:rRNA from 1 species